AAAAAAAAAAAAAAAAAGAAGAAAGAAAAAAUGCAGUUCUCCAAAACAUCUGCCUGUAAAAAAUCAGAUAGUGAAUCCGAGAACAUUUUGCGUUUCAACAAGUCCCUUCAAGUUCUCAUCUUUGUCCCUUGUUUCUUAUGUUCUUCUUUCUUUGAAUGUUAUCUAGAUCUUUUCUUGUGACUCAUUCAGUUCAUCUUAAUGCUUUUUCUGGGUUGAUAGGAACUUAGAGACCUGCGUUCACAG
rnacentral:misc_RNA from 1 species